GAUGAACGCUGGCGGCGUGCCUAAUACAUGCAAGUCGAGCGAUCAGACUAGGUGCUUGCUCCUCUUUCGUUAGCGGCGGACGGGUGAGUAACACGUGGAGAACCUGCCUAUAAGCCUGGGAUAACUUCUGGAAACCGAUGCUAAUACCGGAUAAUAUAUUUAACCGUAUGUUUCAAUAUUGAAAGAUGGUUUUGCUUUCCCUAAUGGAUGUAUCCGGGUGGCAUAAGCUAGUUGGUAAGUUAAGGGCUUACCAAGGCAACGAUGCGUAGCCGACCUGAGAGGGUGAUCGGCAAAACGGGAACGGAAAAACGGUCAAGACUCCUAGGGGAGGAAGAAGAAGGGAAUUUUGCGAAAUGGGCGAAAGCCUGACGGAGAAACGCGGCGUGAGGAAUGAAGGUUUUCGGAUCGAAAAACUCGGUGAUAAGGGAAGACCAAAUGUGUAAGUAAAAAUGCACGAAUUGACGGUACCUAAUCAGAAAGCGACGGCUAACUACGUG
rnacentral:rRNA from 1 species